rnacentral:rRNA from 1 species
GAUGAACGCUGGCGGCGUGCUUAACACAUGCAAGUCGAACGGACUUUAUAUGAAGCCUAGCGAUUAUAAAGUUAGUGGCGGACGGGUGAGUAACGCGUGAAUAACCUGCCCUGUACCGGGGGACAACAGUUGGAAACGGCUGCUUAUACGGCAUAAGCGCAGGCUUCCGCAUGGAACACUGUGAAAAACUCCGGUGGUACAGGAUGGAGUCGCGUCUGAGUAGCCAGUUGGUGGGGUAACGGCCUACCAAAGCAACGAUCAGUAGCCGCACUGGGAGGGUGACCGGCCCCAUUGGAACAGAGACACGGCCCAAACUCCUACGGGAGGCAGCAGUGGGGAAUAUUGCACAAGGGGGGAAACCCUGAUGCAGCGACGCCGCGUGAGUGAAGAAGUUAUUCGUAACGUAAAGCUCUAUCAGCAGGGAAGAAAAUGACGGUACCUGACUAAGAAGCCCCGGCUAACUACGUGCCAGCAGCCGCCGCCG